GACGAACGCUGGCGGCGUGCUUAACACAUGCAAGUCGAACGGAAAGGCCCUGCUUUUGUGGGGUGCUCGAGUGGCGAACGGGUGAGUAACACGUGAGUAACCUGCCCUUGACUUUGGGAUAACUUCAGGAAACUGGGGCUAAUACCGGAUAGGAGCUCCUGCUGCAUGGUGGGGGUUGGAAAGUUUCGGCGGUUGGGGAUGGACUCGCGGCUUAUCCGCUUGUUGGUGGGGUAGUGGCUUACCAAGGCUUUGACGGGUAGCCGGCCUGAGAGGGUGACCGGCCACAUUGGGACUGAGAUACGGCCCAGACUCCUACGGGAGGCAGCAGUGGGGAAUAUUGCACAAUGGGCGGAAGCCUGAUGCAGCAACGCCGCGUGCGGGAUGACGGCCUUCGGGUGGUAAACCGCUUUCGCCUGUGACGAAGCGUGAGUGACGGUAAUGGGUAAAGAAGCACCGGCUAACUACGUG
rnacentral:rRNA from 1 species